UCCGAGUUGACCCCGGCAGUCUCCUAUGAGUCCCCGGCAUAACCCGCUGGCAACAUAGAACGAGGGUUGCGCUCGUUGCGGGACUUAACCCAACAUCUCACGACACGAGCUGACGACAACCAUGCACCACCUGUGCAGGACCCUUGCGGACCUCCCAUCUCUGGGAGAUUUCCCUGCAUGUCAAGCCUUGGUAAGGUUCUUCGCGUUGCGUCGAAUUAAGCCACAUGCUCCGCUGCUUGUGCGGGCCCCCGUCAAUUCCUUUGAGUUUUAGCCUUGCGGCCGUACUCCCCAGGCGGGGUGCUUAAUGCGUUAGCGCCGGCACGGAGGGGGUCUACACCCCCCACACCUAGUGUUCAUCGUUUAGGGCCAAGACUAC
rnacentral:misc_RNA from 1 species